rnacentral:sRNA from 12 species
GAAACGCGAACCAAGCAGCCGCCCACCAGUGGCAUGAGACUUGGAGCUGGCCUCGGUAACGAGACCAUGCA